rnacentral:rRNA from 1 species
UGGCUCAGGAUGAACGCCGGCGGUGUGCCUAAUACAUGCAAGUCGUACGCACUGGCCCAACUGAUUGAUGGUGCUUGCACCAGAUUGACGAUGGAUCACCAGUGAGUGGCGGACGGGUGAGUAACACGUGGGUAACCUGCCCCGGAGCGGGGGAUAACAUUUGGAAACAGAUGCUAAUACCGCAUAACUACGAAGACCACAUGGUCUUCGUAUAAAAGAUGGCUCUGCUAUCACUCUGGGAUGGACCCGCGGUGCAUUAGCUAGUUGGUAAGGUAACGGCUUACCAAGGCGAUGAUGCAUAGCCGAGUUGAGAGACUGAUCGGCCACAAUGGAACUGAGACACGGUCCAUACUCCUACGGGAGGCAGCAGUAGGGAAUCUUCCACAAUGGGCGCAAGCCUGAUGGAGCAACACCGCGUGAGUGAAGAAGGGUUUCGGCUCGUAAAGCUCUGUUGUUGGAGAAGAACGUACCUGAGAGUAACUGUUCAGGUAGUGACGGUAUCCAACCAGAAAGUCACGGCUAACUACGUGCCAGCAGCCGCGGUAAUACGUAGGUGGCAAGCGUUAUCCGGAUUUAUUGGGCGUAAAGCGAGCGCAGGCGGUUGCUUAGGUCUGAUGUGAAAGCCUUCGGCUUAACCGAAGAAGUGCAUCGGAAACCGGGCGACUUGAGUGCAGAAGAGGACAGUGGAACUCCAUGUGUAGCGGUGGAAUGCGUAGAUAUAUGGAAGAACACCAGUGGCGAAGGCGGCUGUCUGGUCUGCAACUGACG